CCUACGGGAGGCAGCAGUGGGGAAUAUUGGGCAAUGGGCGCAAGCCUGACCCAGCAACGCCGCGUGAAGGAAGACGGCCCUCGGGUUGUAAACUUCUUUUGUUAGGGACGAAGCAAGUGACGGUACCUGACGAAUAAGCCACGGCUAACUACGUGCCAGCAGCCGCGGUAAUACGUAGGUGGCAAGCGUUAUCCGGAUUUACUGGGUGUAAAGGGCGUGUAGGCGGGACUGCAAGUCAGAUGUGAAAACCACGGGCUCAACCUGUGGCCUGCAUUUGAAACUGUAGUUCUUGAGUACUGGAGAGGCAGACGGAAUUCCUGGUGUAGCGGUGAAAUGCGUAGAUAUUAGGAGGAACACCAGUGGCGAAGGCAGUCUGCGGGACAGCAACUGACGCUGAGGCGCGAAGGCGUGGGGAGCGAACAGGAUUAGAUACCCCUGUAGUC
rnacentral:rRNA from 1 species